CUGAAUAACUGAGCAGAUCGCUUCGGUCUUUGUACCGGCGACGUAUCUUUCAAGUGUCUGCCUUAUCAACUUUCGAUGGUAGUUUAUGUGCCUACCAUGGUUGUAACGGGUAACGGAGAAUCAGGGUUCGACUCCGGAGAGGGAGCCUGAGAAACGGCUACCACUUCUAAGGAAGGCAGCAGGCGCGCAAAUUACCCACUCUCGGCACGAGGAGGUAGUGACGAAAAAUAACGAGACGGUUCUCUUUUGAGUACCGUCAUCGGAAUGAGAACAAUCUAAACCCUUUAACGAGGACCUAGCGGAGGGCAAGUCUGGUGCCAGCAGCCGCGGUAAUUCCAGCUCCGCCAGUGUAUAUCUAUGCUGCUGCGGUUAAAAAG
rnacentral:rRNA from 1 species